rnacentral:rRNA from 1 species
GAUGAACGCUGGCGGCGUGCCUAAUACAUGCAAGUCGAGCGAACGGACGAGAAGCUUGCUUCUCUGAUGUUAGCGGCGGACGGGUGAGUAACACGUGGAUAACCUACCUAUAAGACUGGGAUAACUUCGGGAAACCGGAGCUAAUACCGGAUAAUAUUUUGAACCGCAUGGUUCAAAAGUAAAAGACGGUCUUGCUGUCACUUAUAGAUGGAUCCGGGCUGCAUUAGCUAGUUGGUAGGGUAACGGCUUACCAAGGCAACGAUGCAUAGCUGACCUGAGAGGGUGAUCGGUCACACUGGAAAUGAGACAGGGUCCAGACUCCUAGGGGAGGCAGCAGUGGGGAAUAUUGGGCAAUGGGCGGAAGCCUGGUGGAGAAAUGACGAGUGUGUGAAGAAGGUCUUCGGAUUGUAAAGCACUGUAAGUUGGGAGGAAGGGAAGUAAGAUAAAACCGGGAUAUCUUGACGGUACCGACAGAGUAAGCACCGGCUAACGGCGUG